AGUGGCACUACACGCUCUUUCCUCCAGUGUGGCCCACGACUCCCAUGCCUACACGGUCAUGCUCACGGCAAUGUCCUCGUCCUCGUCCAAGAAGUCUAACUUCUUUGGCCACGCGUGGGAUAGAGCACGUGGCAAGUCUGACGUUGAAAGGAUCUGCAAGGAAGUCUUCGAGGACCUGUCAGACAAGAACACGGGGCUCCUGGACAUCACAACUUUUGUAGCAUGAUUUAUUCAUACAGUUCAUUUUUUCUUGUUCAGUAGUCAGCACGUUGGUCUAAAAUUCCAGUUCAGUAAAGCUGCAUUGCCUCAUUUAUUUGAUUUCUACAUCAAUACUUCAUUGAUUUACAUAUCGCCAUGAUAUAACUUGAAUUUUAAACAUCUUAACAGGUAUAUGCAUGUGCAUAAUGUCGAACUGAAAUUGAAAACUAAAUACUUGUAGCGGCUGUUCUGUUCGCCUUAUCACUAGGAAAGUAGUACAUUGGAUGGGAGCAUGUUUCUGAUAGACAGCUAAUUAUUUGGCUUCAUUCAAGAUUGUGAUGAUUUGUAGUAAUGAAUUGGAGGCUUCGAUCCACUGCAAUUUAUGUGGUACAAGGGUUUUGUUUGAGAAGGCGAAUGAGAUUCUAAUGGAGGAAAGAAAUGUUCAGUGUGAGUAUUUCCACCAC